UGAGGAAUAUUGGUUCAAUAGCCUAACGGUGACCAGCCAACUUGGGAGGAAAUUAUAGCAAUAGCUACUUGUAUCAUUUAAUGAUGCAAGCUCGACCUAUGUUGAAUAAAAAUUCUAGGGUAGAAUUUAUGAUAAUGACAUUGUCUGCNUAUGUGUCUUGACCAAAUUACGUGCCAGCAGUCGCGGUAAUACGUAGAAGACUAGUGUUAUUCAUGUUUNAUCGGUUUAAAGGGUACCUAGACGGUGAAUCAAGCUUUAGAAUAAAGAAGAAAAGGAACUAAUUCGCUAGAGUUACUUACGAGGGGGUAGUAAAGUACUGCUGGUGUAGAGAUGAAAUUCUGUCAUACCUCUUUUCGAAAGAAAAAUUAUGGCACAGGUAUAGGYGAAGGCAUCCCCUUAUGUGAUAACUGACGUUGAGGGACGAAGGCUUCGUGGAACAAACAGGAUUAGAUACCCUAGUAGUUGAAGCAGAAAAUGAUGAAUGUCAUAGAUUAGACGUCUAAGUUUAUUCUAUAAAUGAAAGUGUAAGCAUUCCACCUCAUGAGUAAUUUGGCAACAUUGGAAUUGAAAUCAUUAGACCGUUUCUGAAACCAGUAGUGAAGUAUGUUGUUUAAUUUGAUAAUACGCAAAAAACCUUACCACAAUUUGAAUCUUUAUAUUGUUUAUUGUUAUGUUAUUAAUUUUCUUAAAAAAACUAAUUAUAGCAAAAGCAUUUUAAAACAGGAAACGAAACUUAAUCAAGAG
rnacentral:rRNA from 1 species